rnacentral:lncRNA from 1 species
CCCUCACCCAGCUGCUGCGGCGGAGAGACGGAGGCCAGCGCGGGGAGCGGAAGCCGGAGCCUGUCGGGAGCGACCCCGGGAAGGCCAGUCCCUCCUGCCGGAGGGAGGCGUGUUGGCGUGCGGCCGGUGGCGGGAUCGAUGGCCACCUGGUAGGCGAUGCUGCUGCGGCGGAGAGACGGAGGCCAGCGCGGGGAGCGGAAGCCGGAGCCUGUCGGGAGCGACCCCGGGAAGGCCAGUCCUCCUGCCGGGGGAGGCGUGUUGGCGUGCGGCCGGUGGCGGGAUCGAUGGCCACCUGGUAGGCGAUGGUAAGCGGCAGUGGCCUGCGCCAAGGUAGCCCCCGGGGGGCGGUGUGUGGCGCCCGGACCCGCACCCUCUGCUCCCGGGGGUGGAGCUGACCUGCUUGCCCGCGGUUGGGCUCGGGAGCCUGCGGGCCGCGGCCAGGAGGGAGCUGGCUGGCCGUCCCGGCGGUGGGGGCUGUGGCGGUGGCCGUCCCGCGGGUGUGCCCGUGCUCGGAUCGAUGAUGACACCCACAAACGCAUU